AGUUCGGAUUGUAGUCUGNAACCCGACUACAUGAAGCCGGAAUCGCUAGUAAUCGCGAAUCAGAAUGUCGCGGUGAAUACGUUCCCGGGUCUUGUACACACCGCCCGUCACACCAUGGGAGCCGGAAAUGCCCGAAGUCAGUGGCCCAACCUCCAAAGGAGGGAGCUGCCGAAGGUGGAGCUGGUAACUGGGGUGAAGUCGUAACAAGGUAUC
rnacentral:rRNA from 1 species